AAUCGUUAAUUACUGCCAUUUCUGAGAAAACCGGGUACAACUAGUACAUUUUACUAGUUUGUUCAUUACGGUCGAUAUUGGACUGAUCCGACGGUCAUCGCAAGAUAUUCUUUUUACGCCAUCGCUUCCCGUCAUAGUCGCGAUGACCAUCGCCUUCCCCCGUUAUUAGUGUGAGCCAUUACAGCAUUUACCAAUGUCUUCCGGUUUCCGUGCACUAACGGCAGUCAUCGGAUUUAAGACUUGUGCAGGCUUUCAGAUUUUAUGGAAAGCUGAUCGAAAUUCGAAGUUUAUCUGGAAAUACUAAUAUUGCUAAUACGGAUUGCUUCCGGGUAUAAACGGACGAACUUUCCCCAUUCGUUGCAAUAGCACCACCACAGCACUGCAUCAAACACUUCCGGGCCUGAGAAGACAAUCGUAGGAUGCCUGACCUGAGACUGAUCCAAUCUCUUCUUCUGUAAUUCACGGAUGAACCUCGUACAGAAGUGGUCGCCGUCUCAUCUGGUUUAUUACCAAUAUUCCGAUGCAGCAAGGGGGUUGAAGGAAACUUGAGCACCUCAGCAAUUGUAAUGGCUUGCAAUACGAAACCUGAUACAUUGCCGAAAAUCGCCUUUAAUGAAUUGAAUCGAGGACCAAUUAUUUUGGUUGCCAAGGUGGUGCAUAUAUGCAGUACCAUGGUUAGAGUGCAUCCCAAAAUCUUCAAAGGCAGCGGACCAAGAGCCCUCGGCCAAAGGGCGUGGGGCCCAUGGAAUGCAGAAGUUCGCUAAAUCAUUAGCGACUACUACGGCUAAAAAGCCCUCCGAGGCACCGUUGGAAGCAGGAAUUAACACUUCAGGGUUCAGGUACUUUCAUCGCAUGAACCGGGUAUCGGCUCAUUGGAUCGAUCGAUAAGCUUACAUUCUAGUCCCCUGAAGAGGAAGACGGUGCGGCCUCGGGUGCGGCGAGAUCAUAAAAUUUUGUUGAAUAUUGAAUUAUUAUUGCUAUUGCAUUUUAAAAUGGUUUAUGAAUACUCAAAUAAAUUUCAACAAUUAUA